UUUAAAUAUAGAAGUUGUAGGAGAAAUGAAGACCAAAUCUAUUUCUGAACGCCCAAGGUCAUUCCUCCAGAACUUCAUCAUCAAGCCUGACUCUCUGAGAAGGAGAAAAAGAUUCUGGCAAGGACAAUAACAACCAAAAAACCAUUAUCAUAAUUUCAAUCAGAUAAAAAGAAUCUGUGUGACUGGGUUGAGCAAGGCAAGCUUUAAAAUUAUAACAAAACAAAAUAAAAAACCCCACCCAAACCCAACAACUAUAUUUAUUUAAUGCUUGCUCAUACAGCAACCUAGGUCAUCCGAGAUUAACAGAUGAAGACUUUGGUGCAAGCAGAGAGUAAGUUACAGAGAUAAAUUCAAAAACAUGGCCUGUGAUCCACACACCAAAUAAAAGAAAUAAAAACAACAGUGGCAGCAACAAUGACAACCACAGAAGACCAAAAGAGCAAAACAAAAACAUCAUACCUUGGUUUCCAACUUCAUUUACCCAAUUACCAUUGCUCAUGUUUACACAAUUAAAUCUGCUUGGCUUCCAGAGAGAGAGUUAAAUGUGACUGCAGAAAAACAAAAAGAGAAUUCCUCUGCAUGCUCAGCUAAGCCAAGGAAGAGAAGCAUCCAGGAGCGAGAGACACUCCAAUUAGCCCUCAAAUAACCUGACCAUCUCUGCUUCCAGCGAGUGAAUUGCCAGUCUCUGAAAUAUCAUAUGAGAGAUGGAUAUGGUUGAUGGAAAGCCCACUUACUACCAAGUUCCAACCUAUUGACGUGUUGCUGAAGAUGCCAGUGUUAGUGUUAUGCUCUCACUGGAAAGAACCAGCCUGCAGCAAUUUGUUACAAUUUGGGAGUGGAGGGGACAAGAGCUGGGGUGGGAACAGAAAGUUAAGCAGAUAGCCACAUUCUACUUUCCAGAGUACACUGCCUCUCUAAAAUGAUGGCUCCAUGGACCACACAUGUAGUGCAAGGUUACAACUCAGCAUGCCUUCUUCAGUGAAGUUAUCCUUUAUAUACACUUGACGCCUUGCAUCUUCAUCACUGCCUUUCAGAAAAUUUCAUCUCUAGCACAGCACAAAGUAUAUGGUAAUAAAGAUGUGGAUGAAUCAUG